GACGCGGUGGCCGAGUGGUUAAGGCGAUUGACUGCUAAUCAAUUGGGUUCUACCCGCGCAGGUUCGAAUCCUGUCCGCGUCG